CAGUAGCCGCGGUAAUACGUAGGUGGCAAGCGUUGUCCGGAAUUAUUGGGCGUAAAGCGCGCGCAGGUGGUUUAAUAAGUCUGAUGUGAGAGCCCACGGCUCAACCGUGGAGGGUCAUUGGAAACUGUUAAACUUGAGUGCAGGAGAGAAAAGUGGAAUUCCUAGUGUAGCGGUGAAAUGCGUAGAGAUUAGGAGGAACACCAGUGGCGAAGGCGGCUUUUUGGCCUGUAACUGACACUGAAGCGCGAAAGCGUGGGGAGCAAACAGGAUUAGAUACCCGGGUAGUCCCUGUCUCUUAUAC
rnacentral:rRNA from 1 species